rnacentral:rRNA from 1 species
GAUGAACGCUGGCGGCGUGCCUAAUACAUGCAAGUCGAGCGAACAGACGAGGAGCUUGCUCCUCUGACGUUAGCGGCGGACGGGUGAGUAACACGUGGAUAACCUACCUAUAAGACUGGGAUAACUUCGGGAAACCGGAGCUAAUACCGGAUAACAUGUUGAACCGCAUGGUUCAACAGUGAAAGACGGUCUUGCUGUCACUUAUAGAUGGAUCCGCGCCGCAUUAGCUAGUUGGUAAGGUAACGGCUUACCAAGGCAACGAUGCGUAGCCGACCUGAGAGGGUGAUCGGCCACACUGGAACUGAGACACGGUCCAGACUCCUACGGGAGGCAGCAGUAGGGAAUCUUCCGCAAUGGGCGAAAGCCUGACGGAGCAACGCCGCGUAAGUGAAGAAGGUCUUCGGAUCGUAAAACUCUGUUAUUAGGGAAGAACAAAUGCGUAAGUAACUAUGCACGUCUUGACGGUACCUAAUCAGAAAGCCACGGCUAACUACGUG